GGCUUCCAAUUAGGAAUAAUAGUGAACUGGCUUCGUAGCAACUACGGAGGACCAGGAUUCUAAAAUCACCUCACUCGUCCCAAAGCUUGCAUCCUCCUCUUUCUGCCACGCACCCCUCCUCCAAUUCAUGAUCCAGAAAAGGGAGCCGGGAAUGCUCUGCUCCUCUCUGCCGGUGGGAAGCGGAGAGGCCGGCGGUGUCGCUGGGUUGGACGGUAGGCAUGAGAACAGUUAAGAGAUGGGCGCCCCCGAAACCUCUGCCGCUUGUGGGGACUGAAGGGCCUUGAAAGAGUUGUCUGGGGUUCCUGCUCUUCCCAAAGGGGCUCGGAGAUACCUUAAAUGCCGCGAGACUGAAGAGCAAACGUCAGGGAUUAUUAUGUCGAUUUUCCGAGGACCAGGGUUCGCAGCUGGCAGUAGAAGAAAAGGCUGGCUCCUCAGGGGUCCCACUGGCAUUUGAUACCCUGAACGACCCUCAGGAUUGCCCAAAUUCGGUGGAUCGCCCAAAUUCGGUGGAUCAGCAACUUUCCUAUACUGCAUCCCGAAUUUUCAAAGAACAUAUUUUCCGUUCACCCCCGCUGGUCUUUUACUGCCAUCAAUACACUGUUCUUGGUGCAAAUACUUCAGCCUCUUUAUUCAAAGUAUGUUUUAUGUUUUUGCCAAAUAUGAUCUCUAAUUGAAAGUUUAUUUUUGGUUUUGGAUGAAUCUGCGGAGCUUAAGUUGUGAGAAGAAAGGGGGAACAAGACACAAUGAAAGAAAAGUCCAAAAAUGCUGCGCGGACUAGGAGGGAGAAGGAAAACAGUGAAUUUUAUGAACUGGCUAAAUUACUGCCUUUGCCCUCGGCUAUCACCUCGCAGCUGGACAAAGCAUCCAUAAUCAGACUCACGACCAGCUAUCUCAAAAUGAGAGUGGUGUUCCCAGAAGGUAAGUGACUUUGCCCAGAUGGAAUUUCAAAGGCAGAAGGGGCCGGGGAUUUGCCAGGCAAUGAGCCGACAUCAGUGACCAGAGAAAUGCAUACAUAUUUACAUAUAUAUUUUGCAAAGGGAAGUUUAGCUCGGCUGCUUCACUAAGGUCCUCACUGAACUCAGAAUUUCUGUCGCUUUUUUGAGGCUCCCUCUACCUCCCCAUCAAUACUUUCUCUUCAGUCCAUCAGAUAUGUUUGGUUGGGAAGCAGCCCAACAGUCCUUUUGUCAACACUUCAGAUACUAGGCUCAAUUGAAAGUACUACUAAUCCAAACAUGACUUUCUUUUUUACUCCUCUUGUUAGAAUUUUGUCCAGUAAAAACCAGGAGCACCGCCUAAUUCUGUAUUUUUUUUUUGCCAGGUGUGGAUAGACCCAUGUACCUGGAGCUAGAUAGGCCAGAUAAUAAUUUCUCUAUAUAUCUAAAGAUUUGCAAAUGAGUAACAUGCAUAUUUGUGAACAAGUAUGCCUGAAUUUACUCAAGUUCUUAAAUAAAUUCUAAGCAAAUUUAUUCCGAGUUUUCAAGACAUUCGCAGAUUCUGAAACUAACUCUGGAGCUUGAUGAUUUGCAACUGUGGGCUUGAUGUUAUCUGUAAGAUAAUAGGCUAGUCCUAAAAUACAUAAGAUUGAAUUAAGAUGGCUAGCCCGCUUAGA
rnacentral:lncRNA from 1 species